UACGUAGGUGGCAAGCGUUAUCCGGAAUUAUUGGGCGUAAAGAGCUCGUAGGCGGCCUGUCGCGUCUGCUGUGAAAACUGGAGGCUCAACUUCCAGCGUGCAGUGGGUACGGGCAGGCUAGAGUGCGGUAGGGGAGAUUGGAAUUCCUGGUGUAGCGGUGGAAUGCGCAGAUAUCAGGAGGAACACCGAUGGCGAAGGCAGAUCUCUGGGCCGUAACCGACGCUGAGGAGCGAAAGAGUGGGGAGCGAACAGG
rnacentral:misc_RNA from 1 species